GAUGUUUUCCUUCACAAACUAAACCAUCUUCACUACUGCUGAAUAUUUAGAAGAAUCCGCUGGUUGCUAAUGACGACUAACCUAAAGUUUAAAUCAUUGAAGUGGAUCACAUCAUGAUUGUCGUGGAUCAUUCAUAUCCUAGUUGUCGUGGAAUAUGAGAUCGACCAUUAUGUAUGACUGUCCUGGAUUAUAAAUGGCUAUCUUGGUUUACGUCGUGCUUAUCGCGUUUUCUUUGCGGUUGUCAUGGAUUUUGUAAACUACGAAUGAAAACGAAAGACAAAG